rnacentral:rRNA from 1 species
GAUGAACGCUGACAGAAUGCUUAACACAUGCCAGUCUUUGGCGAAGCUGUGCUUGCACAGCCUAGCCAAGGCGGACGGGUGAGUAACGCGUAAGGAACUUGCCCUGCAGUCAGGGAUAACAGACGGAAACGACUGAUAAGACCUGGUAAAGUCAGGCGGACUCAUGUCCAGCCUGAUGAAAAGUGAUGCUGCAGGAGAGCCUUGCGUCCUAUUAGCUUGUUGGUGGGGUAACGGCCCACCAAGGCGAUGAUAGGUAGCCGGCCUGAGAGGGUGGACGGCCACAAGGGGACUGAGAUACGGCCCUGACUCCUACGGGAGGCAGCAGUGGGGAAUAUUGGACAAGGGGGGCAACCCUGAUCCAGCAAUUCUGUGUGCACGAUGAAGGUUUUCGGAUUGUAAAGUGCUUUCAGCAGGGAAGAAAAAAAUGACGGUACCUGCAGAAGAAGCGACGGCUAAAUACG